AGUGAACGCUGGCGGUAGGCCUAACACAUGCAAGUCGAACGGCAGCACAGUAAGAGCUUGCUCUUACGGGUGGCGAGUGGCGGACGGGUGAGGAAUACAUCGGAAUCUACUUUUUCGUGGGGGAUAACGUAGGGAAACUUACGCUAAUACCGCAUACGACCUACGGGUGAAAGCAGGGGAUCUUCGGACCUUGCGCGAUUGUAUGAGCCGAUGUCGGAUUAGCUAGUUGGCGGGGUAAAGGCCCACCAAGGCGACGAUCCGUAGCUGGUCUGAGAGGAUGAUCAGCCACAAUGGAACUGAGACACGGUCCAGACUCCUACGGGAGGCAGCAGUGGGGAAUAUUGGACAAUGGGCGCAAGCCUGAUCCAGCCAUACCGCGUGGGUGAAGAAGGCCUUCGGGUUGUAAAGCCCUUUUGUUGGGAAAGAAAAGCAGCAGGUUAAUACCCCGCUGUUCUGACGGUACCCAAAGAAUAAGCACCGGCUAACUUCGUG
rnacentral:rRNA from 1 species